GACGAACGCUGGCGGCGUGCUUAACACAUGCAAGUCGAACGGAAAGGCCCUGCUUUUGUGGGGUGCUCGAGUGGCGAACGGGUGAGUAACAAGUGAGUAACCUGCCCUUGACUUUGGGAUAACUUCAGGAAACUGGGGCUAAUACCGGAUAGGAGCUCCUGCUGCAUGGUGGGGGUUGGAAAGUUUCGGCGGUUGGGGAUGGACUCGCGGCUUAUCAGCUUGUUGGUGGGGUAGUGGCUUACCAAGGCUUUGACGGGUAGCCGGCCUGAGAGGGUGACCGGCCACAUUGGGACUGAGAUACGGCCCAGACUCCUACGGGAGGCAGCAGUGGGGAAUAUUGCACAAUGGGCGGAAGCCUGAUGCAGCAACGCCGCGUGCGGGAUGACGGCCUUCGGGUUGGAAACCGCUUUCGCCUGUGACGAAGCGUGAGUGACGGUAAUGGGUAAAGAAGCACCGGCUAACUACGUG
rnacentral:rRNA from 1 species